UUGAUCCUGCCGGACCCCACUGCUAUCGGGAUANGACUAAGACAUGCUAGAUCGUGUGCCUCAGCCAAAACGAGGCACGGCGCACAGCUCAGUAACACGUGGCUAACCUGCCCUUAGGACGAGAAUAACCCCGGGAAACUGGGGCUAAUGCUCGAUAGGUGAAGAACUCUGGAAUGAGUCUUCACUUAAAAGAGUCUGCGUUAUGCUCGUAGAUUUCGCCCAAGGAUGGGGCCGCGACCGAUCAGGUUGUUGGCGAGGUAAUGGCUCACCAAGCCUUUUACCGGUGCGGGCCGUGAGAGCGGGAGCCCGGAGAUGGGCACUGAGACAAGGGCCCAGGCCCUACGGGGCGCAGCAGUCGCGAAAACUUUGCAAUACACGAAAGUGUGACAGGGCUAUCCCGAGUGCCAUCCGCUGAGGAAGGCUUUUACCCAGUCUAGAAAGCUGGGGGAAUAAGGAGAGGGCAAGUCUGGUGUCAGCCGCCGCGGUAAUACCAGCUCUCCGAGUGGUGUGGAUGUUUAUUGGGCCUAAAGCAUCCGUAGCUGGCUAAGUUAGUCCCCUGUUAAAUCCAACGAAUUAAUCGUUGGAUCGCGGGGGAUACUGCUUGGCUAGGGGACGAGAGAGGCAGACGGUAUUUCCGGGGUAGGGGUGAAAUCCUAUAAUCCCGGGAAGACCACCAGUGGCGAAGGCUGUCUGCUAGAACGCGCCCGACGGUGAGGGAUGAAAGCUGGGGGNAGCGAACCGGAUUAGAUACCCGGGUAGUCCCAGCUGUAAACGAUGCANGCUANGUGUUUGGACGGCCACNUGCCGUUCUANUGCCGCAGGGAAGCUGUUAANCCUGCCCCCUGGGGAGUACGAUCGCAAGAUUGAANCUNAAGGAAUUNGGCGGG
rnacentral:rRNA from 1 species